GCCCGCUCAGAAACUUAAAGGAAUUGACGGGGCCCGCACAAGCGGUGGAGUAUGUGGUUUAAUCGAUGCAACGCGAAGAACCUUACCUGGUCUUGACAUCCCGGAGACCCUUAGGAAACUAGGGGUGCUUCCAUCUGGAAGAAUCUGGAGACAGGUGCUGCAUGGCUGUCGUCAGCUCGUGUCGUGAGAUGUUGGGUUAAGUCCCGCAACGAGCGCAACCCUUGCCUUUAGUUGCCAGCAGUUCGGCUGGGCACUCUAAAGGGACUGCCGGUGUUAAACCGGAGGAAGGUGGGGAUGACGUCAAGUCCUCAUGGCCUUUAUGACCAGGGCUACACACGUACUACAAUGGCCGAUACAAAGGGCAGCGACACUGCGAGGUGAAGCCAAUCCCGUAAAAUCGGUCUCAGUCCGGAUUGGAGUCUGCAACUCGACUCCAUGAAGUUGGAAUCGCUAGUAAUCGUGGAUCAGCAUGCCACGGUGAAUACGUUCCCGGGCCUU
rnacentral:rRNA from 1 species